rnacentral:rRNA from 1 species
UACGAACCGUCCAAACGUUAUUCGGAUUCAUUGGGCUUAAAGGGUACGUAGGCGGCGCUAUCAGUCGGGUGUGAAAGCCCUCGGCUCAACCGAGGAACUGCGCCCGAUACUGUAGUGCUUGAGGGAGACAGAGGUAAGCGGAACUGAUGGUGGAGCGGUGAAAUGCGUUGAUAUCAUCAGGAACACCGGUGGCGAAGGCGGCUUUCUGGGUCUUACCUGACGCUGAGGAACGAAAGCCAGGGGAGCGAACGGG